AAAUCAUUAUAAUAUAGAUCAGUCCCCCAGGCAGUGGGGCCGGGAUUUGGUAGCUGGUGCUGAAAGAAAACCCUUUAUUGCAUCCUUGCCCUGGGAUUGUGCCAGUGGCAGCUGUCACUCAAUGGCACAGAG